GUCUACAGCCAUGCUAUCCUGAACAAGCCGGAUCCCGUCUGAUCUCGGAAGCUAAGCAGGGUUGGGCCUGGUUAGUACUCGGAUGGGAGAUCACCUAGGGAGGAAGACUAGGUGCUGUAGACA
rnacentral:rRNA from 1 species